rnacentral:rRNA from 1 species
UACGUAGGGUGCAAGCGUUGUCCGGAAUUAUUGGGCGUAAAGAGCUCGUAGGCGGUUUGUCGCGUCUGCUGUGAAAACCCAGGGCUUAACCCUGAGCCUGCAGUGGGUACGGGCAGACUAGAGUGUGGUAGGGGAGAUCGGAAUUCCUGGUGUAGCGGUGGAAUGCGCAGAUAUCAGGAGGAACACCGGUGGCGAAGGCGGAUCUCUGGGCCAUAACUGACGCUGAGGAGCGAAAGCAUGGGGAGCGAACAGG